CCCAGAUCUAACGUACAUUUACAAGCAGAAAGGACAUAAAGAAACCAGUUAAAUACCAUCACAAUAAGUAAAGAAAUGAGUAAAGAAUAUAUGAUGAUCACAUUGCCCACACCAAGAUUUUCUUGAAAGUUAAAGGAAGUACUAUUAAAUUCUUCUUUGCAGGGUGGCGUAUAAACUAGAACAGUCCCAUGUAAACUGUAAAGUUUAUUACUCAGAAUAUAAAUAUUCUGAAAGGCAACUGAUCUGUUUUUCAUAAAUUAAUAGUAUAAGAAAAAAAAAGAGGGGCUUAGUAGAUAAAUGUAAUGACUAGAUAUUGAUUUCUGGUUUUGUGGAUGUAUUUUGUGGAUAUGUUUUACAAAAACAGUGUAAAAAGACAUUGUGGAGACAAGCAGAGAAAUUGGAUUAUGUAUGCCCUGAGUAUUUAAUCAUACCAAAGAAUUAGUGAUAACUUUAUUAGGUGUUAUAAUGGUAUUAUAGUUUGUGAGAUUAUGUUUCCAUGUUUGUUAGACAUACAUACUGAAGAAUGUAGGAAUGAAAUGGAGGCUUGGAUUUGCUAUACUACCACAAUAGGGCAGAUUAAUAAAUUAUGGAGAAUAAUUGACAAUUGUUGAAUCUGGGUAGUAGAUAUGCAGAUUUACCAAACAGUUCACUCUACUUUUGUGUACAUUUAAAUAUUUCCUGACAAACCUCAAAAAAACAGGUCAUGUUAAAUCUCCAGUGUUGCUCUUAUGUCCUAAAGGAUGAAGAACCAUUAUUCUCUUUGCAAUGAACUCAGGAGUGUAUUGCACUUUUAGAAGUGAUGGGACCUCAAGGGACUAUAUCCUGGCACUUUGUUGGAUCUCCAUAUGUCCUUUUCAUUACUCCUGACACAAGGAAUCCAGGACUAUAACUCUCUUUCAACCAGCAAAAGUUUAAAUGCAAUAACUGACUUUGAAUUCUAGCCCCAUGGAUACAUGUGAGAACACUGACUCAUUUCUUUAAGCUUAGGCUUCCUAUAACGUAAAGCGUUAAAUGAGUACGGUACAGGGUUUCUGGAAAACUUUGAGGUAAUGUGUACGCAACACUCACGAAGGGCUUGGCGUGUAUCAGGUGAUCCUGCCUUACUUCACUUCCAGCAGAGUCAUGACCAACACGUAGAUACUUCUGAGUCACACAGGUUAUUGAAGAAAGCAACCACAUGACAAGUGACUGCCCACUGAUUUCAGAUCACAUGACUUUUAUUGAAAAUAUAUGUAUCUACCCUGCUUUUGGCAAUGUAUCCUCAAGUCCAGUAAAGGUCAUUUUGGGAACAAACUUGGCUCCUGUCAAAUUAAAAGGAAUUACAACCUCUAAAAAUAUCAAUGCUGUUUUUGGAAUCGAUUUAAAAAAAAACACACACACACACACACAUACACACAUCGAGGGUCCCAACACUGCCGUAUAGCAGACUAAAAUUAUUAACAGCAUAAACAAUAUCCCAUGGACUUUUUCUAAUGCUAUAGAUAUUAUUCUUUCUUAAUCAAACUGAAAUUUAAAAUAAGAGACAAAUAAAAAGAACCCAGAAAGGGCACAUAUUUCAUUUCUAUUAAAGUUUAAAAUAGGCCCUUUGAGGAAAGUAUCAACUCAAUUUCUCCUAAUUAAUCAGAGGGUCGAGUUGUGCUUACCUGAUGGUAUUCCUCCUCUUUUACCUGAGCACCAAAAGUUGUUGCUUAUCACCUUGGCAUCACCAAGAUAGGUGUUUGUCUCAGACGUGGCUCUGAAAGACGCUAUUUCUGGGAUACUGCAUUAUUUCUGUAGCUGUUGUUAUCGCUGAGACUCAAGCGGUCCCCAUUUCCUAAGAAACUUCCCCGAGACAGGAAUUGGGGUGAGGAGCAUGUUUACAUGCACUGGGUUUGCCCAUCCCUCCACGUGCCCCAUUAUAAACUAGGGGUUACCUGCUCCCUCUUCAAGGAGAAACACUGGGCUCUUCCUACUUCUCUGGUAAGAACUGGGCUUGUGUAUUCCUCAUCCUUUGUUAAAUGACUGUGUUCUAACAGCAUUUUUUCAGAAUGAACUUCAAACUCAAGCACGUAAGGAUUUUGAUCAUCUUUCUUUCAGGUCCUCUAGCCUCAUCUUCAGCAACUCUUCUAGAGACAAUUCUCACUCCAGCUUUAUGAAAUUUUCUGGAGGCCGGAAGUCUGACAUCAGUGUCACAGAGCCCAAGUCCAAGUGUCAGCAGGACUGCACUUCCUCUGGAGCUCUAGAGGAGAAUCAGCUCCUCGUCUCUUCCAGCUUCUGGUGGCUGUCAGCACUCCUUAGCCUGUGACUGCAUCACUUCAAUCUUUAAGGCUAGCUUCUUCAAAUGUCUCUCAGUCCUGUCUUCACAUUGCCUUCUCUUCUGGGUGUCUCCGUGUCAGAUCUCCCUUUACCUCUCUCUUAUAAGGACACCUGUGAUUAUGUUUAGGGCAUACCUGGAUAAUACAGAAUAAUCUCAGCGUCUCUAAAGAUCCUACGUUAAUUCCAUCUGCAAAACUUUUUUCCAAAUAAAGUAAGAUUUACAGGUUCCAGAGAUUAGGACUGUCUUGCGGGGACAUUAUUCAGCCUGCUAUAUCUUCCUUGUUCUUCCCCUUCAACUCUGGUUCUGCUUUCCAGGCUGGAUUAUGAGUCUCUUAUCUGAAUAUUGAUUUAAAACCUUGUAUUUAACUUUAUCAUGGUACAUAGAAUGAGGAUGAUGAUGUUGAUGUUGAUGAUAGCUAAGAUACAUCAAUUGCUUACAGUAUACUGGGCACUGCUCUAAAAAUUGCACAGGUAUAUCAGUUAACUCAUAUAACAAUUUUAAGAUGUGGCUGUAAUAUUCAUCCCAAUUUUCAGAUCUUAGAACUAAGGUACCACAACUAGUAAGUGGACUUGCUGAGAUUUGAACCCAGGCAGA
rnacentral:lncRNA from 1 species